rnacentral:pre_miRNA from 1 species
UAGUUUUUCCCUAAGUCAAAGCUGUCUAACUUUGACAAGUUUAUAAAACAAUAUAUCAACAUCUACAAUAUCAAAUAAAUGCACUAUUAUGUCAAAAUAUAUUUCUUGGUGUAUCUAAUGAAUUUUGUUUGAUGUUAUAGAUGUUUGUGCAUAUUUCUAUAAACUUGGUCAAAACAAGAGAAGUUUAACUUAGAACAAAGCUAAA